GAUGAACGCUGGCUACAGGCUUAACACAUGCAAGUCGAGGGGAAACGACAUCGAAAGCUUGCUUUUGAUGGGCGUCGACCGGCGCACGGGUGAGUAACGCGUAUCCAACCUGCCCAUCACUCGGGAAUAACCUUGCGAAAGUAAGACUAAUACCCAAUGACAUCCCACGAAGACAUCUGAAUGGGAUUAAAGAUUUAUCGGUGAUGGAUGGGGAUGCGUCUGAUUAGCUUGUUGGCGGGGUAACGGCCCACCGAGGCAACGAUCAGUAGGGGUUCUGAGAGGAAGGUCCCCCACAUUGGAACUGAGACACGGUCCAAACUCCUACGGGAGGCAGCAGUGAGGAAUAUUGGUCAAUGGGCGAGAGCCUGAACCAGCCAAGUAGCGUGCAGGAUGACGGCCCUAUGGGUUGUAAACUGCUUUUAUAAGGGAAUAAAGUGGGUCUCGUGAGACUUUUUGCAUGUACCUUAUGAAUAAGGACCGGCUAAUUCCGUG
rnacentral:rRNA from 1 species